GGGCCGUUAGCUCAGCUGGUUAGAGCACCUGCCUUUUAAGCAGGGGGUCGCUGGUUCGAAUCCAGCACGGCUCA
rnacentral:tRNA from 1 species